UCUCAGGGUAUGAAGAGGGGAAGGACAGACCUGGGGAAGCUGCUGCAGCUGCGGGCACAGAAGGCAGCACUCGGGACAGUCCCGCCAUGGCCUGGGCCCCGCUCCUGCUCUCCCUCCUGGCUCACUGCACAGGGUCCUGGGCCCAGUCUGCGCUGACGCAGCCGCCCUCGGUGUCUGGAGCCCCGGGGCAGAGCGUCACCAUCUCCUGCUUGGGAAGCAGCAGCAACAUCGGGGCUGGGUAUGCUGUGCACUGGUACCAGCAGCUCCCAGGAACGGCCCCCAAACUCCUCAUCUAUGAUAACAGCAAUAGACCCUCGGGGGUCCCUGCCCGGUUCUCUGGCUCCAAGUCUGGCAGCUCGGCCUCCCUGACCAUCGCGGGGCUCCAGGCUGAGGACGAGGCUGACUAUUACUGCCAGUCCUAUGACAGCAGUCUUGAUGCUCCACAGUGCUGCAGGUCCAUGGAGAAGUGGGACAAGAACCCCGUCGUCACCUGCAGGAGGGUGAACGCCGUCAGCUGCUGCUCAGGCCCAGCCUGUGGCUUCUGCUGCUGCUGCUGCCACCGCGGGCCCAGCUGCAGCCACAGGCACCACGAGUUCCCAGACCUAUGUCUUCCUCCCAUUUGA